UACAGAGGUCUCAAGCGUUGUUCGGAUUCAUUGGGCGUAAAGGGCGCAUAGGCGGCUUUGUAAGUCGGGGGUGAAAGCCUGUGGCUCAACCACAGAAUUGCCUUCGAUACUGCAUGGCUUGAGACCGGAAGAGGUAAGUGGAACUGCGAGUGUAGAGGUGAAAUUCGUAGAUAUUCGCAAGCAACACCAGUGGCGAAGGCG
rnacentral:rRNA from 1 species